rnacentral:misc_RNA from 1 species
UUUCCGUAGGUGAACCUGCGGAAGGAUCAUUACAGAGUUCAUGCCCGCAAGGGUAGACCUCCCACCCUUGUGUAUUAUUACUUUGUUGCUUUGGCGAGCGCACGCUCGCCAGAGAAUACCCAAGCUCCUUUUAUUAAUCUCGUCCGAGUACUAUAUCAUAGUUAAAACUUUCAACAACGGAUCUCUUGGUUCUG